rnacentral:rRNA from 1 species
UCCUACGGGAGGCAGCAGUGGGGAAUUUUCCACAAUGGGCGAAAGCCUGAUGGAGCAAUACCGCGUGGAGGAAGAAGGAUCGUGGUCCGUGAACUCCUUUUCUUAAGGAAGAAACAAUGACGGUACUUAAGGAAUAAGCACCGGCUAACUCUGUGCCAGCAGCCGCGGUAAUACAGGGGGUGCAAGCGUUGUCCGGGAUGAUUGGGCGUAAAGCAUCUGUAGGUGGUUUCUAAAGUCUACUGUUAAAUCCCAGAGCUCAACUUUGGCAAGGCAGUGGAGCACUUAGAGACUUGAGUACGGUAGGGGUAAAGGGAAUUCUUAGUGGAGCGGUGAAAUGCACAGAGAUUAGGAAGAACACCAGUGGCGAAAGCGCUUUACUGGGCCGUAACUGACACUGAGAGAUGAAAGUUGGGGGAGCGAAAAGGAUUAGAUACCCUUGUAGUCCCAACUGUAAACGAUGGAUACUAAGUGCUGUCAAAAACAGUGCUGUAGCUAACGCGUUAAGUAUCCCGCCUGGGGAGUAUGCUCGCAAGAGUGAAACUCAAAUGAAUUGACGGA